GGGAACUGCAGGCACUUUCUUUAGCUUCUGAGUUUGCAUCUUCCACCAAGACAAGGUGGUACUGCAUCCCAGGCCUUCCAUUUUGCCUAAAGUAAUUUUGAAUAAAUCUUUGGGCCAGCCAAUUGUUUUGCCUUUCUGCCACCCACAAUCAUCGGAUGCAGAGAGAAAGUGGCAUCUUCUAGAUGUUAAAAGAGCAAUCGAAAUUAUCUUCUGAAAUCUCAAGUAUUCAGAAUCUCAGAUC